rnacentral:rRNA from 1 species
UACGUAGGAGGCAAGCGUUGUCCGGAAUUACUGGGCGUAAAGCGCGUGUAGGUGGUGGGACAAGUCUGCUGUGAAAGCGCCUGGCUUAACCGGGCGAGGUCGGCGGAAACUGUCCGACUCGAGGACGGUAGAGGGGGGUGGAAUUCCCGGUGUAGUGGUGAAAUGCGUAGAGAUCGGGAGGAACACCUGUGGCGAAGGCGGCGCCCGGGGCCGGCCCUGACACUGAGACGCGAAGGCGUGGGGAGCGAACGGG